GCUACUUUUGCCGGCGAAGCGGCGGACGGGUGAGUAAUGCCUGGGAAAUUGCCCAGUCGAGGGGGAUAACAGUUGGAAACGACUGCUAAUACCGCAUACGCCCUACGGGGGAAAGCAGGGGACCUUCGGGCCUUGCGCGAUUGGAUAUGCCCAGGUGGGAUUAGCUUGUUGGUGAGGUAAUGGCUCACCAAGGCGACGAUCCCUAGCUGGUCUGAGAGGAUGAUCAGCCACACUGGAACUGAGACACGGUCCAGACUCCUACGGGAGGCAGCAGUGGGGAAUAUUGCACAAUGGGGGAAACCCUGAUGCAGCCAUGCCGCGUGUGUGAAGAAGGCCUUCGGGUUGUAAAGCACUUUCAGCGAGGAGGAAAGGUUGAUACCUAAUACGUAUCAGCUGUGACGUUACUCGCAGAAGAAGCACCGGCUAACUCCGUGCCAGCAGCCGCGGUAAUACGGAGGGCGCAAGCGUUAAUCGGAAUUACUGGGCGUAAAGCGCACGCAGGCGGUUGGAUAAGUUAGAUGUGAAAGCCCCGGGCUCAACCUGGGAAUUGCAUUUAAAACUGUCCAGCUAGAGUCUUGUAGAGGGGGGUAGAAUUCCAGGUGUAGCGGUGAAAUGCGUAGAGGUCUGGAGGAAUACCGGUGGCGAAGGCGGCCCCCUGGACAAAGACUGACGCUCA
rnacentral:rRNA from 1 species